rnacentral:rRNA from 1 species
GGAACUAGAUGUGGGGANCAUUCCACGGUCUCCGUGUCGCAGCUAACGCAUUAAGUUCCCCGCCUGGGGAGUACGGCCGCAAGGCUAAAACUCAAAGGAAUUGACGGGGGCCCGCACAAGCGGCGGAGCAUGCGGAUUAAUUCGAUGCAACGCGAAGAACCUUACCAAGGCUUGACAUAUACCGGAAACGGCCAGAGAUGGUCGCCCCGCAAGGUCGGUAUACAGGUGGUGCAUGGUUGUCGUCAGCUCGUGUCGUGAGAUGUUGGGUUAAGUCCCGCAACGAGCGCAACCCUCGUUCUAUGUUGCCAGCACGUUAUGGUGGGAACUCAUAGGAGACUGCCGGGGUCAACUCGGAGGAAGGUGGGGAUGACGUCAAAUCAUCAUGCCCCUUAUGUCUUGGGCUUCACGCAUGCUACAAUGGCCGGUACAAAGGGCUGCGAUACCGUAGGGUGGAGCGAAUCCCAAAAAGCCGGUCUCAGUUCGGAUUGAGGUCUGCAACUCGACCUCAUGAAGUCGGAGUCGCUAGUAAUCGCAGAUCAGCAACGCUGCGGUGAAUACGUUCCCGGGCCUUGUACACACCGCCNCGUCAAGUCGUGAAAGUCGGUAACACCCGAAGCCAGUGGCCUAANCCCCUUG